UUGAACGCUGGCGGCAUGCCUUUACACAUGCAAGUCGAAGCGGUCAGCGCGGGGCAACCUGGCGGACGAGUGGCGAACGGUGAGUAAUGCAUCGGAACAUGUCCAGUAGUGGGGGAUAGCCCGGCGAAAGCCGGAUUAAUACCGCAUACGACCCGAGAGGGGAAAGCUGGGGGACCGCAAGGCCUCACGCGAUUGGGCUGGCCGAUGUCAGAUUAGGUAGUUGGUGGGGUAAGAGCCUACCAAGGCCGACGAUCGGUAGCUGGUCUGAGAGGACGACCAGCCACACUGGGACUGAGACACGGCCCAGACUCCUACGGGAGGCAGCAGUGGGGAAUUUUGGACAAUGGGGGCAACCCUGAUCCAGCCAUUCCGCGUGCGUGAAGAAGGCCUUCGGGUUGUAAACGCUCUUUUGUCAGGAGAGAAACGGCACUUGUCGUGAAUAGCCCGGUGACUAAUGACGGUACCUGAAGAAUAAGCACCGGCUAACUACGUGCCAGCAGCCGCGGUAAUACGUAGGGUGCAGAGCGUUAAUCGGAAUUACUGGGCGUAAAGCGUGCGCAGGCGGCUUUGUCAGACAGAUGUGAAAUCCCCGGCUUCAACCUGGGAACUGGCAUUUGGUGACUGCAUGGCUGGAGUGCGGCAGAGGGGAGAUGGAAUUCCUGCGUGUAGCAGUGAAAUGCGUAGAUAUCAGGAGGAACUACCGAUGGCGAAGGCAGGUCCUCUGGGCCUGACACUGACGCUCAUGCACGAAAGCGUGGGGAGCAAACAGGAUUAGAUACCCUGGUAGUCCACGCCCUAAACGAUGUCGACUGGUUGUUGGAGGCUUUGACACUGUUCAGUAACGAAGCUAACGCGUGAAGUUGACCGCCUGGGGAGUACGGCCGCAAGGUUGAAAACUCAAAGGAAUUGACGGGGACCCGCACAAGCGGUUGGAUUAUGUGGAUUUAAUUCGAUGCAACGCGAAAAACCUUACCUACCCUUGACAUGCCUGAACCCGGUGCAGAGAGGUAGGUGCUCGAAAGAGAACAGGAACACAGGUGCUGCAUGGCUGUCGUCAGCUCGUGUCGUGAGAUGUUGGGUUAAGUCCCGCAACGAGCGCAACCCUUAGUCAUUAGUUGCUACAUCAGUGGGCACUCUAAUGAGACUUGCCGGUGACAAACCGGAGGAAGGUGGGAUGACGUCAAGGUCAUCAUGGCCCUUAUGGGUAGGGCUACACACGUCAUACAAUGGCGCGGUACAGAGGGCUGCCAACCGGGCUGACUGGGAGCAAUCUCAGAAAAGCGCGUCGUAGUCCGGAUCUGCAGUCUGCAACUCGACUGCAUGAAGUCGGAAUCGCUAGUAAUCGCGGAUCAGCAUUGUCCGCGGUGAAUACGUUCCCGGGUCUUGUACACACCGCCCGUCACACCAUGGGAGCGGGUUCUGCCAGAAGCGGUAGCCUAACCGCAAGGAUGGGCGCUCGACCACGGUGCAGGAUUCGUGACUGGGGUG
rnacentral:rRNA from 1 species